rnacentral:rRNA from 1 species
UACAGAGGUCUCAACCGUUGUUCGGAUUCAUUGGGCGUAAAGGGUGCGUAGGCGGCGGGGUAAGUCAGGUGUGAAAUCUCGGGGCUCAACCCCGAAACUGCACUUGAUACUGCCUCGCUUGAGUACUGGAGAGGAGACUGGAAUUUACGGUGUAGCAGUGAAAUGCGUAGAUAUCGUAAGGAAGACCAGUGGCGAAGGCGGCAUCCUGGACCGGUAUUGACGCUGAUGCGCGAAAGCCAGGGGAGCAAACGGG